rnacentral:rRNA from 1 species
AACGAACGCUGGCGGCAUGCCUAACACAUGCAAGUCGAACGAAGCCUUCGGGCUUAGUGGCGCACGGGUGCGUAACGCGUGGGAAUCUGCCCUCGGGUUCGGAAUAACAGUUAGAAAUGACUGCUAAUACCGGAUGAUGUCUUCGGACCAAAGAUUUAUCGCCCAAGGAUGAGCCCGCGUCGGAUUAGCUAGUUGGUGAGGUAAAGGCUCACCAAGGCGACGAUCCGUAGCUGGUCUGAGAGGAUGAUCAGCCACACUGGGACUGAGACACGGCCCAGACUCCUACGGGAGGCAGCAGUGGGGAAUAUUGGACAAUGGGCGAAAGCCUGAUCCAGCAAUGCCGCGUGAGUGAUGAAGGCCUUAGGGUUGUAAAGCUCUUUUACCCGGGAUGAUAAUGACAGUACCGGGAGAAUAAGCCCCGGCUAACUCCGUG